UGUUUCGGCAAGGGGGUCAUCCCGACUUACCAACCCGAUGCAAACUGCGAAUACCGGAGAAUGUUAUCACGGGAGACACACGGCGGGUGCUAACGUCCGUCGUGAAGAGGGAAACAACCCAGACCGCCAGCUAAGGUCCCAAAGUCAUGGUUAAGUGGGAAACGAUGUGGGAAGGCCCAGACAGCCAGGAUGUUGGCUUAGAAGCAGCCAUCAUUUAAAGAAAGCGUAAUAGCUCACUGGUCGAGUCGGCCUGCGCGGAAGAUGUAACGGGGCUAAACCAUGCACCGAAGCUGCGGCAGCGACGCUUAUGCGUUGUUGGGUAGGGGAGCGU
rnacentral:rRNA from 1 species